GAUGAACGCUGACAGAAUGCUUAACACAUGCAAGUCAACUUGAACUUCGGUUUGGGUGGCGGACGGGUGAGUAACGCGUAAAGAACUUGCCUCACAGAUAGGGACAACAUUUGGAAACGAAUGCUAAUACCUGAUAUUAUGAUUAUAUGGCAUCGUAUAAUUAUGAAAGCUAUAUGCGCUGUGAGAGAGCUUUGCGUCCCAUUAGCUAGUUGGAGAGGUAGCGGCUCACCAAGGCGAUGAUGGGUAGCCGGCCUGAGAGGGUGAUCGGCCACAAGGGGACUGAGACACGGCCCUUACUCCUACGGGAGGCAGCAGUGGGGAAUAUUGGACAAUGGACCAAGAGUCUGAUCCAGCAAUUCUGUGUGCACGAUGAAGUUUUUCGGAAUGUAAAGUGCUUUCAGUUGGGAAGAAAAAAAUGACGGUACCAACAGAGGAAGUGACGGCUAAAUACGUG
rnacentral:rRNA from 1 species